UGCGGAUUCUAAGUAGUAGUGCCGCAGGUCACUGAUAUUGGGUAACCUGCUCCCUGCUACUUAAGAUCCUUG
rfam:Trichuris trichiura, WGS project CBXK01000000 data, contig: TTRE_557